rnacentral:rRNA from 1 species
GGGUUGUGAGGUUAAGCGACUAAGCGUACACGGUGGAUGCCCUGGCAGUCAGAGGCGAUGAAGGACGUGCUAAUCUGCGAUAAGCGUCGGUAAGGUGAUAUGAACCGUUAUAACCGGCGAUUUCCGAAUGGGGAAACCCAGUGUGAUUCGUCACACUAUCAUUAACUGAAUCCAUAGGUUAAUGAGGCGAACCGGGGGAACUGAAACAUCUAAGUACCCCGAGGAAAAGAAAUCAACCGAGAUUCCCCCAGUAGCGGCGAGCGAACGGGGAGCAGCCCAGAGCCUGAAUCAGUGUGUGUGUUAGUGGAAGCGUCUGGAAAGGCGCGCGAUACAGGGUGACAGCCCCGUACACAAAAAUGCACAUACUGUGAGCUCGAUGAGUAGGGCGGGACACGUGGUAUCCUGUCUGAAUAUGGGGGGACCAUCCUCCAAGGCUAAAUACUCCUGACUGACCGAUAGUGAACCAGUACCGUGAGGGAAAGGCGAAAAGAACCCCGGCGAGGGGAGUGAAAAAGAACCUGAAACCGUGUACGUACAAGCAGUGGGAGCCUCUUUAUGGGGUGACUGCGUACCUUUUGUAUAAUGGGUCAGCGACUUAUAUUCUGUAGCAAGGUUAACCGAAUAGGGGAGCCGAAGGGAAACCGAGUCUUAACUGGGCGUUAAGUUGCAGGGUAUAGACCCGAAACCCGGUGAUCUAGCCAUGGGCAGGUUGAAGGUUGGGUAACACUAACUGGAGGACCGAACCGACUAAUGUUGAAAAAUUAGCGGAUGACUUGUGGCUGGGGGUGAAAGGCCAAUCAAACCGGGAGAUAGCUGGUUCUCCCCGAAAGCUAUUUAGGUAGCGCCUCGUGAAUUCAUCUCCGGGGGUAGAGCACUGUUUCGGCAAGGGGGUCAUCCCGACUUACCAACCCGAUGCAAACUGCGAAUACCGGAGAAUGUUAUCACGGGAGACACACGGCGGGUGCUAACGUCCGUCGUGAAGAGGGAAACAACCCAGACCGCCAGCUAAGGUCCCAAAGUCAUGGUUAAGUGGGAAACGAUGUGGGAAGGCCCAGACAGCCAGGAUGUUGGCUUAGAAGCAGCCAUCAUUUAAAGAAAGCGUAAUAGCUCACUGGUCGAGUCGGCCUGCGCGGAAGAUGUAACGGGGCUAAACCAUGCACCGAAGCUGCGGCAGCGACGCUUAUGCGUUGUUGGGUAGGGGAGCGUUCUGUAAGCCUGCGAAGGUGUACUGUGAGGUAUGCUGGAGGUAUCAGAAGUGCGAAUGCUGACAUAAGUAACGAUAAAGCGGGUGAAAAGCCCGCUCGCCGGAAGACCAAGGGUUCCUGUCCAACGUUAAUCGGGGCAGGGUGAGUCGACCCCUAAGGCGAGGCCGAAAGGCGUAGUCGAUGGGAAACAGGUUAAUAUUCCUGUACUUGGUGUUACUGCGAAGGGGGGACGGAGAAGGCUAUGUUGGCCGGGCGACGGUUGUCCCGGUUUAAGCGUGUAGGCUGGUUUUCCAGGCAAAUCCGGAAAAUCAAGGCUGAGGCGUGAUGACGAGGCACUACGGUGCUGAAGCAACAAAUGCCCUGCUUCCAGGAAAAGCCUCUAAGCAUCAGGUAACAUCAAAUCGUACCCCAAACCGACACAGGUGGUCAGGUAGAGAAUACCAAGGCGCUUGAGAGAACUCGGGUGAAGGAACUAGGCAAAAUGGUGCCGUAACUUCGGGAGAAGGCACGCUGAUAUGUAGGUGAAGCGACUUGCUCGUGGAGCUGAAAUCAGUCGAAGAUACCAGCUGGCUGCAACUGUUUAUUAAAAACACAGCACUGUGCAAACACGAAAGUGGACGUAUACGGUGUGACGCCUGCCCGGUGCCGGAAGGUUAAUUGAUGGGGUUAGCGGUAACGCGAAGCUCUUGAUCGAAGCCCCGGUAAACGGCGGCCGUAACUAUAACGGUCCUAAGGUAGCGAAAUUCCUUGUCGGGUAAGUUCCGACCUGCACGAAUGGCGUAAUGAUGGCCAGGCUGUCUCCACCCGAGACUCAGUGAAAUUGAACUCGCUGUGAAGAUGCAGUGUACCCGCGGCAAGACGGAAAGACCCCGUGAACCUUUACUAUAGCUUGACACUGAACAUUGAGCCUUGAUGUGUAGGAUAGGUGGGAGGCUUUGAAGUGUGGACGCCAGUCUGCAUGGAGCCGACCUUGAAAUACCACCCUUUAAUGUUUGAUGUUCUAACGUUGGCCCCUUAUCGGGGUUGCGGACAGUGUCUGGUGGGUAGUUUGACUGGGGCGGUCUCCUCCUAAAGAGUAACGGAGGAGCACGAAGGUUGGCUAAUCCUGGUCGGACAUCAGGAGGUUAGUGCAAUGGCAUAAGCCAGCUUGACUGCGAGCGUGACGGCGCGAGCAGGUGCGAAAGCAGGUCAUAGUGAUCCGGUGGUUCUGAAUGGAAGGGCCAUCGCUCAACGGAUAAAAGGUACUCCGGGGAUAACAGGCUGAUACCGCCCAAGAGUUCAUAUCGACGGCGGUGUUUGGCACCUCGAUGUCGGCUCAUCACAUCCUGGGGCUGAAGUAGGUCCCAAGGGUAUGGCUGUUCGCCAUUUAAAGUGGUACGCGAGCUGGGUUUAGAACGUCGUGAGACAGUUCGGUCCCUAUCUGCCGUGGGCGCUGGAGAACUGAGGGGGGCUGCUCCUAGUACGAGAGGACCGGAGUGGACGCAUCACUGGUGUUCGGGUUGUCAUGCCAAUGGCACUGCCCGGUAGCUAAAUGCGGAAGAGAUAAGUGCUGAAAGCAUCUAAGCACGAAACUUGCCCCGAGAUGAGUUCUCCCUGACCCUUUAAGGGUCCUGAAGGAACGUUGAAGACGACGACGUUGAUAGGCCGGGUGUGUAAGCGCAGCGAUGCGUUGAGCUAACCGGUACUAAUGAACCGUGAGGCUUAACCUUACAACGCCGAAGGUGUUU